AAAGAAUUAGUUAAACUAUAACAUAAAUAUGUCAAAUUUAAAUUAUUAUUUCAAAUAAUAUUCUUUU
rnacentral:tRNA from 1 species